GGCGAAAAGACCCCCGCAGAGCCCCGACCGGAGCGCCCCAUCGGCACUCGGGGCGGGGAGGGGCGUAGGUCGGGAGUGCUUGCGGCUCGCAAAGGCGGACUCUGCGGCAGCAGCGCGGACCGGGGAGCGGCGGCGACAUGAGAGGAAUGAGAUAUUCCCACCAAGAUAGCAGCCACAGGACACCUAAUUUAUUGCUCAUUUAUGAGAAGAAACUAACUUCUUCCUGCCUUGCUCAGCCUCAGGAUUAAGAGGAAGAAGUUGACACUGACCAGACAGAAACCUUUGUUUGGAGUUCUGCAUCAUGUAUGAGAUGUAUGAAUAUGCAAAUAAACUAUUGCUUUUAAGGGUUAAUCCUCUGUUAAUGUGUGUCCUUUUUCAGGCUUAUUUUGCCCAGAAAGAGGUACUCGGACUGUCCGUAACUCUUUGUUUUUAUUGUCUCGUAUUGUCCUAAUCCUAAUUGCCCAAAUUUUUGUUACUCAUAUUACUAUUUUUAUAACCAUUUUAUUACUAUUAAACUUAAAAUUUUAAAGACAAGUGAUUGGUGUUUUUCACAUAUUAUAUUGUAGGCUUCAGCAAAAUGUUAAAAUAGAGACUAAAAUACUUCUAUGUAACUAACUCCGAGAAUGGUGUAAAGCAAUUAUUCUAUUUCUUAUAUCUGCAUACUAGCCUUUCCAAGUGAUAAGGUAACAGUGAAAAAAACAGAGCUUAAGCAUCCAGGAAGGAUUUAUCGACUCUAUUUGCACUAUCAGGGAGUGUGAAACAACAGGAUAAAACUACAGGAAGAAAUAAAAUAUGUAGACCUAAUUUACAGAAUGUUCUGCAGACAAGUCAGAGGUUAAAACCAAACAAGAGAGUACCUGGAACGUCAAAAACGCAAAGGAACGUUUGAAUAAUGUAUAAACUAAUGAAUAUGCAUGUAACCCCAGCAAUGUGACCAGCGUAUAGUGAACAUAAUUGUAAGCUACCUUUGUGCUCUUUAGCCGUGCACCAAAAGCACACCAGUGCUGGAUUAUUUUGUCCUUUUGUCCUUUAUUAAACUUUAAAAUAUUUUAAAGAGUGAACUCUUUAUCACAUCAGUGAAGCUUAAGCUGAUCUGCAUCCAGGUGCUGUGGGACCUGCUGGGGGAGGCCACUGAGCUAAUGUGGAGCUACCACAGUGGAGGCAAAGUAUUUCAACACUACAAUAACAUAAUCAGCAACAUUAAUUAAUUUUCUGUUCUUCAUGCAAGCCUCAGCAUUAAGAACACUACUGGCCUCUACUAGUAUUAAUAAUAUGCACAGUGUUAUUAGUAUUAAUAUUUAGGUAAGAAUUGUUACUGUUAACACUGUUAGUGUGUUAGCUGGUGUUUACUGUGAAGCUGUGCUCUCCCACAGCAGGACAAGAUCCUGAAGCUGACCUCAGGUGCAAAGUUAGGUGAGCACUGCUGUCCUUACCACAAUCCCCCGAUGGAGCCAUGCUCCAGAGAUGGGCAGCAAUGAGUCUGCGCAUGCCUUCCCAAGGUGACAGAGCUCGCCCUCCCUCCCGUCUGCAGUCAGGGGAUGUGAAGGUAACCAUUGCUGUCCUCAGCUUCAUCUUCUCCAGUGCUGCCAAGCAUAGUAUAGACAGUGAGUCUCUGUCAAGUGAGCUGCAGCAGCUGGGACUGGCCAAAGGCAGGGGAAACCCUCAGGGUGGUACCAUGAGCCAGUCCUGGUGGGAUUUGGCUGACGGUUCCCAGCCCUGCCUUCUUCACACCCAGAUGGAGGGCAGGCUGCCUGCUGUGCUGUCCUCCAUCACCUCCCUUCUGUGCCAUCAAUCCCUGGGGGCCCCUCGGGUGCUUUGGUGAGGUUUGGCAGCUGCAGGUCUAGUGUGAGCAGAGGGAUUCUUCUCGUCUCCCCUCACGAGCAGAGCAUGCCAACCAGUUGUGCUGUUUUACAUGUGACUGACCCACAAAACUGCAGGAGACUGAGGACUUGUAACAGGUGCAGGACUGGUUCAAAAGGAACUUGGGAAAAAACCUCUGUCUGCAGCUCCACUCGGAUUUCUCACUGAAAGGCACCUCACUUUACAUAAAAGCUACAAAAGUUACACUGAACUUUCCCAAAGCAUGAAUCUUCUGCUCAUUCCUUGUAAAUGUGUGGAGUUUCUCUUCAGAGCGGGGAGCCUGCUUUGCAGUUACUCCUCUGGACAGCAAAUGAAAGGACUCUGGAUACACCAAUGUCAUUUGGUGCUAAGUUCCAUUUGACUCCUAAUCAAUACUCUUUUCUUUUGCUAGCUUUAAAAUAGGUACCUUGAUAUCAUGCACUUUUAUGUAAUCUAGUAGUAGUUCUUCCUUGUUUAUACUGUGCAGUAAAAAUCUUUUGUCUAUUAUCUCCUAUCUGUUUAAUAAAUAACUGAUUUUAUAAAUUUACCUGAUUUGCCAUCCUUAAAACUUGCGGGCCAGAGUGCUUUCUUAAAUUUAA